GAAUUUUUCGCAAUGGGCGCAAGCCUGAUGGAGCGACGCCGCGUGGGGGAUGAAUGGCUUCGGCCCGUAAACCCCUGUCAUUUGCGAACAAACCUCAUUAUUUAAAAGAUGCUGAGCGGAUUGUAGCGAAAGAGGAAGGGACGGCUAACUCUGUGCCAGCAGCCGCGGUAAUACAGAGGUCCCAAGCGUUGUUCGGAUUCACUGGGCGUAAAGGGUGCGUAGGUGGUGAGGUAAGUCGGAUGUGAAAUCUCCGAGCUCAACUCGGAAAUGGCAUUGGAAACUACCUUGCUCGAGGAUUGGAGGGGAGACUGGAAUGCUUGGUGUAGCAGUGAAAUGCGUAGAUAUCAAGCGGAACACCAGUGGCGAAGGCGAGUCUCUGGACAAUUCCUGACACUGAGGCACGAAAGCCAGGGGAGCAAACGGG
rnacentral:rRNA from 1 species